AGAGUUUGAUCCUGGCUCAGAAUCAACGCUGGCGGCGUGCCUAACACAUGCAAGUCGAGCGAGAAAAGGAACUUCGGUUCCCUAGUACAGCGGCGCACGGGUGAGUACAACGUGGGUAACCUGCCCCGGAGCGGGGAAUAACACCGGGAAACCGGUGCUAAUACCGCAUACGAUCGCAGAGUCUUCGGACUUUGCGAUGAAAGGCUUUAACCGCUCUGGGAGGGGCCCACGCCCGAUUAGCUAGUUGGUGAGGUAACGGCUCACCAAGGCAGCGAUCGGUAGCCGGUCUGAGAGGACGGUCGGCCACACUGGAACUGACACACGGUCCAGACUCCUACGGGAGGCAGCAGUGGGGAAUUUUUGACAAUGGGGGAAACCCUGAUCAAGCAACGCCGCGUGGAUGAUGAAGUAUUUCGGUACGUAAAAUCCUUUCGACAGGGAAGAAGCCCUUCGGGGUUGACGGUACCUGUAGAAGAAGCCCCGGCUAACUCCGUGCCAGCAGCCGCGGUAAUACGGGGGGGGCAAGCGUUGUUCGGAUUUACUGGGCGUAAAGGGCGCGUAGGCGGUUUGUUAAGUCGGAUGUGAAAACUCUGGGCUCAACCCAUAGACUGCAUUCGAUACUGGCAGACUUGAGUGCGAGAGGGGAAAGCGGAAUUCCUGGUGUAGCGGUGAAAUGCGUAGAUAUCAGGAGGAACACCGGCGGCGAAGGCGGCUUUCUGGAUCGCAACUGACGCUGAGGCGCGAAAGCUAGGGGAGCAAACAGGAUUAGAUACCCUGGUAGUCCUAGCCCUAAACGAUGGAUACUUGGUGUGGGAGGGAUUGAUUUUUUCCGUGCCGGAGCUAACGCGUUAAGUAUCCCGCCUGGGGAGUACGGUCGCAAGGCUGAAACUCAAAGGAAUUGACGGGGGCCCGCACAAGCGGUGGAGUAUGUGGUUUAAUUCGAGACGACGCGAAGAACCUUACCUGGGCUCGAACGGCUAGUGCUAAAGGGUGAAAGUCCUCCUUCCUUUCGGGGACGCUAGUCGAGGUGCUGCAUGGCUGUCGUCAGCUCGUGUCGUGAGAUGUUGGGUUAAGUCCCGCAACGAGCGCAACCCUUGCUUUUAGUUGCCAGCACAUCAUGGUGGGAACUCUAGGGGGACUGCCGGUGAAAAACCGGAGGAAGGUGGGGAUGACGUCAAGUCCUCAUGGCCUUUAUGUCCAGGGCUACACACGUGCUACAAUGGGCGGUACAGAGGGUCGCAAACCCGUGAGGGUGAGCUAAUCCCAAAAAGCCGUCCUCAGUUCGGAUUGGAGUCUGCAACUCGACUCCAUGAAGGUGGAAUCGCUAGUAAUCGUGGAUCAGAAUGCCACGGUGAAUACGUUCCCGGGCCUUGUACACACCGCCCGUCACAUCACGAAAGUCGUUUGUACUAGAAGCCGGUGCUUUAACCUUCGGGAGAUAACCGUCCAAGGUAUGAAUGGUGAUUGGGGUGAAGUCGUAACAAGGUAACC
rnacentral:rRNA from 1 species